AAUACCCUAAAAUGGCACACAUUUGGGUUUUUGUUCCAAAACUAGCACACACAUUGGAAUGUUCCAAAACUAUCAUUACUUAAUAUUUAGUAAUUAAUAAAGAAAAAUAUUAUUAUUUUUAAAAACUCACAAAAAUCAAAAUCCGAUCUCUUUCACAUUUUUCUCCGGCUAACCUUGAUCUCAGAUUUUCCCGUGAAGCUUCAGUCAGGCGGUUACAAUAACGACAAAGGAAGAAAAUCAAAACUUUGACAGGCGGCGGUGAAGCAAGUCGCAUCAAUGGAUCGUUUCACACACACGCCUUCUCAUCGAUUCAUCUCAUUUCUCUUUUCAAUCAUCGCCUCCUCCUCCUCUCUUAUCCAUAAAUUCUUGUCCUUUUUUCACCUCAACAAGAAUGGAUCAUUGUACUGGAGAAAAUCCCAUGGCUUCUCAGUUUGACAUUCUCAGAUGCCCAUUCUUGAAGCAAGUCAAAGCUGAACACGGCGGUGAAGCAAGUCGCAUCAAUGGAUCGUUUGUAAAAUCUGUAUAAUACUUAUAUUCGUCAAGAGUUUGCACUUGAAUGUAUUAUGAUCAUCCUACUUCUUGAAUUUUUUUGAAAUUAAAGAGAACCUGUAACAGUAAAUAUGUUCAUGAAGUCUUCAUGAAUUUUUAUGAAAUUUGUCAUGAAUUUAUUAUUCUA